ACUACGGGAGGCAGCAGUGAGGAAUAUUGGUCAAUGGGCGCGAGCCUGAACCAGCCAAGUCGCGUGAGGGAGGACGGCCCUACGGGUUGUAAACCUCUUUUGCCGGGGAGCAACGGGCGUCACGUGUGGCGCCACUGAGAGUACCCGGAGAAAAAGCAUCGGCGAACUCCGUGCCAGCAGCCGCGGUAAUACGGAGGAUGCGAGCUUUAUCCUGAUUGAUUGGGUGUAAAGGGUGCGUAGGCGGAUCGUUAAGUCAGUGGUCAAAUUGAGGGGCUCACCCCCUUCCCGCCAUUGAAACUGGCGCUCUUGAGUGGAAGAGACGUAUGCGGAAUGCGUGGUGUAGCGGUGAAAUGCAUAGCUAUCACGCAGAACCCCGAUUGCGAAGGCAGCAUGCCGGCUUCCGACUGACGCUGAAGCACGAACGCGUGGGGAUCGAACAGGAUUAGAUACCCUUGUAGUC
rnacentral:rRNA from 1 species